rnacentral:rRNA from 1 species
CCAAUAGCGUAUAUUAAAGUUGUUGCAGUUAAAAAGCUCGUAGUUGAAUUUCGGGAUCAAUAUGUUGGUCGUGCCUCGGUACGUACUAGCAUAUUGGUUUCUCCUUUCUGAAGAACCAUGAUGUCAUUUAUUUGGUGUCGUGGGGAAUCAGGACUGUUACUUUGAAAAAAUUAGAGUGUUUAAAGCAGGCUCACGCUUGAAUACAUUAGCAGGGAAUAAUGAAAUAGGACGUUUGAUUCUAUUUUGUUGGUUUCUAGGAUCGACGUAAUGAUUAAUAGGGAUAGUUGGGGGCAUUAGUAUUCAAUUGUCAGAGGUGAAAUUCUUGGAUUUAUUGAAGACUAACUACUGCGAAAGCAUUUGCCAAGGAUGUUUUCAUUAAUCAAGAACGAAAGUUAGGGGAUCGAAGACGAUCAGAUACCGUCGUAGUCUUAACCAUAAACUAUGCCGACUAGGGAUCGGAUGAUGUUAAUUUUUUAAUGACUCAUUCGGCGCCUUACG